CCUACGGUGGGCAGCAGUGAGGAAUAUUGGUCAAUGGACGCAAGUCUGAACCAGCCAUGUCGCGUGCAGGAUGACGGCUCUAUGAGUUGUAAACCGCUUUUGUACGAGGGUAAACCCCGAUACGCGUCCCGGGUUGAAAGUAUCGUACGAAUAAGGAUCGGCUAACUCCGUGCCAGCAGCCGCGGUAAUACGGAGGAUCCGAGCGUUAUCCGGAUUUAUUGGGUUUAAAGGGUGCGUAGGCGGUUUGAUAAGUUAGAGGUGAAAUGUCAGGGCUCAACCCCUUAACUGCCUCUGAUACUGUUUGACUAGAGAGUAGGUGCGGUAGGCGGAAUGUAUGGUGUAGCGGUGAAAUGCAUAGAGAUCAGACAGAACACCGAUUGCGAAGGCAGCGUACCGAACUAUAUCUGACGUUGAGGCACGAAAGCGUGGGUAGCGAACAGGAUUAGAUACCCUGGUAGUC
rnacentral:rRNA from 1 species